GGGGCCGCUCAAGGGUCAUGGGGGGUCACUUGUGGGUCAUGGGGUCACUUGUGGGUCAUGGGAUCACUUCUGGGUCAUGGGAUCAUUUCUGGGUCAUGGGGGUCACUUGUGGGUCAUGGGAGUCACUUGUCGGUCAUGGGGUCACUUGUAUGUCAUGGGGGUCACUUCUGGGUCAUGGGAUCACUUCUUGGCCAUGGGAGUCACUUGUGGGUCAUGGGGGUGACUUGUGGGUCAUGGGAGUCACUUGUGGGUCAUGGGAUCACUUCUGGGUCAUGGGGGUCACUUGUGGGUCAUGGGAUCACUUCUGGGUCAUGGGGGUCACUUCUGGGUCAUGAGAGUCACUUGUGGGUCAUGGGAGUCACUUCUGGUCAUGGGGGUCACUUCUGGGUCAUGGGAGUCACUGGUGGGUCAUGGGGGUCACUUGUGGGUCAUGGGGGGUCACUUCUGGGUCAUGGGAGUCACUUCUGGGCCAUGGGGGUCACUUGUGGGUCAUGGGAUCACUUGUGGGUCAUGGGACUCACUUGUAUGUCAUGAGGGUCACUUGUGGAUCAUGGGGGUCACUUGUGGGUCAUGGGAUCACUUCUGGGGCAUGGGGGUCACUUGUGUGUCAUGGGGUCACUUGUGGGUCAUGGGGUCACGUGUGGGUCAUGGGGUCACGUGUGGGUCAUGGGAUCACUUCUGGGUCAUGGGAUCAUUUCUGGGUCAUGGGGGUCACUUGUGGGUCAUGGGGGUCACGUGUGGGUCAUGGGAUCACUUCUGGGUCAUGGGAGUCACUUGUGGGUCAUGGGGUCACGUGUGGGUCAUGGGAUCACUUCUGGGUCAUGGGAGUCACUUCUCGGCCAUGGGGGUCACUUGUGGGUCAUGGGGGUCACUUGUGGGUCAUGGGAUCACUUGUGGGUCAUGGGAGUCACUUGUGGGUCAUGGGGGUGACUUGUGGGUCAUGGGGUCACUUCUGGGUCAUGGGGUCACUUCUGGGUCAUGGUAUCACUUCUGGGUCAUGGGAGUCACUUGUGUGUCAUGGGGUCACUUCUGGGUCAUGGGGUCACUUCUGGGUCAUGGUAUCACUUCUGGGUCAUGGGGUCACUUGUGUGUCAUGGGGGUCGCCUGUGGGUCAUGGGGUCACUUCUGGGUCAUGGGGGUCACUUGUGUGUCAUGGGGGUCCCUUGUGGACUUGUGGGUCAUAAGAGUCACUUGUGUGUCAUGGGAUCACUUCUGGGUCAUGGGAGUCACUUGUGGGUCAUAGGAGUCACUUGCGGGUCAUGGGAUCACUUCUGGGUCAUGGGAAUCACUUGUGUGUCAUGGGAGUCACUUGUGUGUCAUGGGGGUCACUUGUGGGUCAUGGGAUCACUUCUGGGUCAUGGGGGUCACUUGCGGGUCAUGGGAGUCACUUGUGGGUCAUGGGGUCACUUCUGGGUCAUGGGAGUCACUUCUCGGCCAUGGGGGUCACUUGUGGGUCAUGGGAGUCACUUGUGGGCAUGGGUGUCACUUGUGGGUCAUGGGAUCACUUGUGGGUCAUGGGGUGACUUGUGGGUCAUGGGAUCACUUCUGGGUCAUGGGAGUCACUUCUCUGCCAUGGGGGUCACUUGUGGGUCAUGGGAGUCACUUGGUGUCACUUGUGGGUCAUGGGAUCACUUGUGGGUCAUGGGGGUCACUUGUGGGUCAUGGGAGUCACUUGUAUGUCAUGGGGGUCGCCUGUGGGUCAUGGGGUCACUUCUGGGUCAUGGGAUCACUUGUGGGUCAUGGGAGUCACUUCUCGGCCAUGGGGGUCACUUGUGGGUCAUGGGAGUCACUUGUGGGUCAUGGGUGUCACUUGUGGGUCAUGGGGUCACUUGUGGGUCAUGGGAGUCACUUGUGGGUCAUGGGGGUCACUUCUGGGUCAUGGGAGUCACUUGUGGGUCAUGGGAUCCCUUGUGGGUCAUGGGAGUGACUUGUGGGUCAUGGGGGUCACUUCUGGGUCAUGGGGGUCACUUCUGGGUCAUGGGAGUCACUUGUGUGUCAUGGGAUCACUUGUGGGUCAUGGGAUCACUUGUGGGUCAUGGGGAUCACUUCAAGGCUGGGGGUUGAUUGAGUGUCAUGAGGCGCCUUUGUGGGGCUGGGGGCAUUUGUGGGUCAGAGGGGUCACUGGUGGGCCUGGAUGCACCUUUUGGGCCAGGGGCUAGCGGUGCCCUUGUGGGCUCAGGUGGCCAUUUGUGGGCCAGGGGUGGUCACUUGUGAGGCGAGGGAGGCAGCUGUGGGCCAGGGGUCACUUGAGGGGCUGAAGGGGCACUUUUGGAUUGGGGAGAUACUUCUGGAAGUCCCUUGUGAGGCUGAGGGAACACUUGUGGGACUGCCACCCCCUGUGACAUGCAGCUCCCCCAGGCCCUCUUGAGGACCCCAUCCUCUGGAUGCUGCGAUGCCACCGCCGGAACAUAAGGGAACGCCUUCGGGCCAUUGAGACACUCCUGGAAUGCCCACCUGGGCACCCCCAACGCAUGGUGGGGCCAAUAAAGCAAUGACACCCCAAAAUUGCACUGGGGAGGUGGGGAGACCCCCAAAACCCCCUCCCUUACCUCCCCCGCCUCUGAGAUUGCCCGCAGUUCCCUCUCCCCCUAAACGUCCCCAAGAGUAUUUGGGAGAUUCUGGGGGCUCAAAAUAGGUUGUUGUUGGGGUAUUGGGUGUCUCUAGGGGGUCUGUGAGGGUCUGUGGGGUGUUUGGAGGGGCUCUGAAGCUGCGGAAGGGAUUUGGGGGGUGUUUGGGGAGCGCUGGAAAUCGGGAGCGGUUGGGAGGGCACUGCGUGUCUAUAGGGCGUCUAGAAGAGGUCUGUGGGAUUUUUGGGGGAGCCUCUACAAGUGCUGGGGAAAAUCUGAAAGAUAUUGGGGUCCAGGAAGGGGUUUGGCGGGACCCUUGGGCUUUGGGGGGGUCUUUAACGGUCCGGGAGUCCGUGGGAUAUUUUGGGGGGCCCAGGACAGCGCUGGGGGGUCUGUGGGGACCAGGAAGCGUAUAGGGGCGUCUGGGGGUUUAUUUGGCGUAACGGGGCGGAGACCCCCCAAGCCCGUGGGAACGGGGCUCCCCUGUCUUCUUCACCUUCCCGCGGCCGACGUGGCGCCGGGGGGUUCUGGUGCACUCCCGGCCCCGAGGGCGCUGCGGGGGCCCGGGGCCGUCAGCGGCUCCCCCCGGGGCCGUCAGCGGCUCCCCCCGGGCUCCCGCACGGCCCCGUGCGCCCCCGCUGGGCCCGCGCCGCUUUGCUCGCCUCCCGGACUACAACUCCCGACAGGCCGUGCGGCCCGCGCCGCUUUGCUCGCCUCCCGGACUACAACUCCCGACAGGCCGCGCGGCCCGCGCCGCUUUGCUCGCCUCCCGGACUACAACUCCCGACAGGCCGCGCGGCCCCGGGGGCGCUGCUGGGCCGGGACUGCGGUUCCCGUCGUGCCCCGCGGCCCCUGAGAGUCCCCUCAGAGCCGGGCCUGGCCCCGCGGCGCCGACCCGGCUGCUCCCCAAGCGUUUCCCCGAGCCGUAAGUCUGUAAGUGCCCCUCCGGGGCCCCGUAAGUACCCCCGGUGUCCCUCUCCUGACCCUCAAGUGCCCCUCAGGGUCCCUAAGUCCGCCCGGCCCCCGUCCCCUACUUGCCCCCAAAAUGCCCCCUUUGUGUACCCUCGGACUCCCAAGUGCUUUCCAACUGCCUCCCCGACCCCUAAGUGCCCCUCCAGACCCUCUAAUGAUCCCGCAAGCACUCGCAACUGGAUUCCAAGCGCCCUUCGAGUGUCUCCCAGGAACUGGCGUGAUGACGACGAUGUAGAGAAAGACCCUGACCCUAUCGCAGUAUCAGCAACAGUUCAGCCUUUAAUUGAAUUCGAAUCAAAAUUGCAAUUGCCGAUGCGGGGGACGGACAAGCCCCCCCACUUUUUCGUGCCACUCCCGUGGUCCCUCUUGGAGCCAGGGAAAUUGCAGGAAAAGCAUUCCUGCAUGAUGUGCACAUCAAAAAUUUCAUGGGAAUUGGGAACAAAGUCUGUGUGGUGAGCUUCCCGGAGAGGUGGACAUAAAUCCUGUCAGAUGAAGAAGAGGUUGAGAGGACUUUGGGGACCUCGAGUAUACUCUUCUGUAGGCCCCCCCACCCCAAAACCCCCGAGGCCCCUUCAUCCCCUACAGACUCCCCAGUAGAUCCCAAAUACCCUUAGAAUGCCCUCAAAAUGCUCCACAGCUUCCCCCCCCCAGACACCCUAUAAACCCUCAGGGACCCUCCCAAACCUCCCUCUAAAACCUCCUGAGGCUCUCUAAAAUAACCCAUAGAUCUGCCCAAACCCCUGGCAUUCCCCUGCACCCCCCAAAAGGGGCUACCCCAGGUGGCCACAACUAGUCAUGGACUGCCUGAGCCACUUUUUCAGCUGAUAUGGAUGUAGGUACAAAUCUAACAGAAAUAUAAAAUAUAAUAUAGAAAGGGGCCUCCAGGAGAGCUGGGCAGGGUCUUUGUCUGGGGACGGGAUGGAGGCUGAGGGUUUUCACCUGCCAGAGGGCAGGGUUAGAUGGGAUACUGGGAAGAAAUUCCUCCCUGUGAGGGUGGUGAGACCCUGGCACAGGCUGUCCAGAGAAGCUGCAGCUGCUCCAUCUCUGGAAGUGUCCAAGGCCAGGUUGGACAGGGCUUGGAGCAACCUGCGAUAGUGGAAGAUGCCCCUGCCAUGGGCUGGAUCGAGAUGACCUUUGAAGUCCCUUCCAACCCAAACCAGCCUGGGAUUCUAAAAGUGGGGGAGGUUUGGGGUGGGUGACCUUGCCUGACCCCAGGUGCUCCAUCACUCCAGCUUCAGGAAAAGACAGCAAGAGAAAACCUGAUGAAAAUGCUCCUGGAGGAGAUGGGGUGGGGGGAUGUGAGUCCCUCAGGAGCUGCUCCGGGUCCCUUUCCAUGGGCUGAGUCCCUCAGGUGGAGGCACUUGGGGCAUGAUUCCUACCCAACAGGCAUCCCAAUGGGGGAGAAGACAGGUUCAGCCCCUUGAUCCAGCCUGUCCUGAUCCCUCUGCAGAGCCUUUCUGCCCUCCAGCAGAUCCACACUCCCACAGAAGUUGGUGUCACUUGUGAACUUAGUUUGACUUCCACUUGAUCCCCUCAUCAGUAAAUAUGUUAAACAGGACUGGACCCAGCACUGACUCCUGGGGUCACCCACACGUAAUUUGGUGUUAUGGAUGGAGUGGGAGCUUCAGACAAGCCCUGUCUUUGGCUAAGAUUUUUGUGUACAGCUUGAAUUAGGUGGCCCGCACCUAAACCACUCUGGCUUACAAGAGUGGCAGAUCAGGUCUAUUAUAAAAUGAGUUAUUGAUUGAAUAGACAGGAGAUAAUAGACAUAAGGUCUUGAACAGAGUUACCUACUAAGCAGUAUAAAAAUAACUACUAGUAGAUUACAUAAAACAGUGCACAACAUUAAGGUACCUAUAUCAAAGCUAGGAAAGAAAUAGUAUAGAUUAGGAGUCAAUGUAACUUACCACCAAACUGGCAAGAGUGUGCACAGAGUCCUUUCAUUCAACCCUUGAGAGAGGAACCACAAAACCAGCAUCCCGACUUUGGGGGAAAUGCCCCACACAUUUCCAGGGAAUGUGCAGAAGACUUCUACUUUGUACAAGUUUGGUGUAGCUUUAAUAGAUUGUGAAGUGUGUGUCAGAAAUUCCAGCUUCUCUUUCCACAAUCUUGCUUCCACAGCAAGAUGUUUAUUGUCAGCUAGAGGUGUCACUUCCAUGGCACCCAAAUAACCACGAGACAAGCGGUCUUUAGUGAUUUAUUUCACCAGUUAGCAACCUCUUGAGGCAGGGAACAUGUCCUGCUACACUGGCCCUAGCUGGAUUUAGUUCCAUUCCCCUCCACUCUCUGGGCUUGAGCAUCAGCCAGUUUUUCAUCCAGCAAACAGUUCCCCUGUCCAGUCCAUGUGCAGCCAGCUUCUCCAGUGCCAAAGGCUUUACUGAUGUCUAUAAAUACACGUCCACCACCCUUCCCUCAUCUGCUGACUGGGUCAUUCUGUCACUGAAGGACCUGCCUUUCCCAAACAUGCACUGUCUGGGCCUGAUCCCCUGGUUGUCCUGCACAUGCUGUAGGAUAGCACUCAGGAUGAUCUGCUCCAUGGCCUUCCCCAGUACAGGGGUCAGGCUGACACGGUUCAUGGAAAGACACUAAAACUCUAAAAGACAAAGUGAGUUAUAAAGUAGGUAUGUAUUUUUUUUUUGGUCGGAUGCGUGCGGGAUACUUCCGCAAAGGCAUGCACAUCUCCGUGUUCUCAGCGUUCUUUUUCAUCCUCUAAAAUGUUACAUAUACAUUAGAUUUUGCAAUACAUUUAUGCAUAUUCAUUUCCUGGCUCCACCUUGUCCCACUUUGUAUGCUAAUUAACUCAUCAGUCCCUUGCACCUGUGUACUUGUCUCUGGUGGUUGUCUUGGGGGAUGAAGUAAGUAGUCGUCAUCAAAGUUGACAUUCUCACCCUGUCUUCUUGUGCAUGCUUACUGAUCCAGUUUGGGCUUCAGAGGAGCCUUGUUGUCCUGGUAGUCUUGUAACUUUGUUCUGUUUUGAUGAACAUCAUCCUUCCCUUAUCACACAUCCUUGCUUUCUUUUGUGUUGCUCUUGCAUGUACACUGUUGUCUUCCCUUUAGAGGUAGUUAGCACAGUAAAAAGCAGCAAAUAUGAAGCAAUAUAUAUAAUCUAAAUAUCUAUGUCUAAUCAAUAUCCCUCUAAUUCCUAACCCCAUGUCUCAGACAGGUCUGAAGCUCCCUGAAUCCUCCUUCCAGUCCUUCUCAUAGAAGGAUAGCACAUUUGCUGAUUUUGAGUCAACAGGAACUCUUUCAGUUUACCAGAGCUUACCAGUUUGGCUUUGGCCUUUCUAACUUUCUUGCUAUAUCACCUCCCAACAUCCUUGUAAUCCCCUAAGUUUUCUGCCUCUCCUUCCAGAGGUGACACAUGUUUUUUUUUUUUUUUGCCCUGAGUUCCUGCCUAAGGGUUCGGGUUAGGGUUAGGCCUCUCUUUAAUGAGGCCAGUCAUUUUCCCACACUGGCUUGUCUUAUGGCACAUGGGCACAGCUCCUGCAGCUUUAAAAUUUCCUUUUUAAAGAAUCUCCAGCUCUCCUGGAUUCCUUUUCCCUUCAGGACUGACUCCCAAGGGACUCUGUCAAUGGAUCUCCUAGAAAGGACAAAAUGUGCCCUCCAGCAAUCCAAGGGGGCAGUUCUGUUGCCCCGUCCUUUCUAUCCCCACAGUGGAAAACUGUCAUUUUGUGGUUGCUUUGUCCAAGACACUCCCAAAUACCACAUCACACACCACUGAUGGAAUAACAGAAUCAGAGAAUGGUAUGGGUUGGAAAGGACCUUAAAGGGCCUCUACUUCCAACCCUCCUGCCAUGGCCAGGGACAGAUUCCAGUAGUGGAAGUUGCUGCAAGCCCUGCCCAAACUGGCCUUGGACACAUCCAGCAACGGGGCAGCAACAGCUUCUCUGGGCAACAUGUGCCAGGAGCUCACUGCCCUCACAGGGAAGAUUUUCUUCUAGAAGCUGAUCUAAAACUGCUCUUUAUCAGAGGAGAGCCAUUCUCCCACGUCCUGUCACUCCAGGUCCAGCACCGAGACCCAUGGCUGACACCAGUCCUGGGGCAGCUCCAUGGAGAUCCUCCACUGCUACAAGUGGUUGCCGUGGGCAUGAGCUGAGGCCUGUAGCAGAUCCUGCUGCCUUGGCAACCACUUGCUAUCUCCUUCCGAGAUAGCUCAGUUACCACAGCAUUGUCAAUGGACCUGCUCCUAAAUUUUGUCUUGGCCCAAGAAAAAAUUUGGACCAAGUCUUGGCCCAGCUGUGAUCCUGGACUGCUGUGUGUUGGAGAUUGAAAUAUUAUUGUUUAUGACUUAAACAUCCUCAUGAAGAACUUUUGCCUAUUAUAGUAAAACUGUUUUGCAAAAGCUGCAGAGAAGACCACCACACCCUGAAUGGGGCCCUGACUGAGGGCCUGCACUGCUCGAUGAUAAAGAUAAGAGAAAGUAACGACUCAAGGCUGAGGACAUUCACAGCGCCCAAGCCUAAUACCUUCUUAGUGGAGACCGAAGCCCUGGGGCCAUCAGCUGCCAGACUCCAAUAGACCCUCCCAACAAAGGGUGGUGGGAAGAGACCUUGGCUUACCCCAGAUGCUCCCCCCUCCCCCCCCCCCAGGCUGCUCCAUCACUCCAGCUUCAGGAAAAGACAGCAAGAGAAAACCUGAUGAAAAUGCUCCUGGAGGAGAUGGGGUGGGGGGAUGUGAGUCCCUCGGGAGCUGCUCCGGGUCCCUUUCCAUGGGCCGAGUCCCUCAGGUGGAGGCAUUUCGGACGCAGAGGCAACACCUACCUCACUGUAGUCUUCUCCAGUGCUGCAGGGGAGUCUCUGCUCUGCGGCACCUCCUUACCUGGGGUGCUGCUCAAGGAGGAAGGACAACAGCAGUGAAAGGGACUUUUUUGCACCAAAAUAAAAUUAAACUGUGAAUGUUAUUUUUCUCAAGGAUUUUAAGAUUUGUAAAUCCCAUGUUCUGAAAUGAUCUGAGGUGUAGCAGGCAAGACCUAGAGAGUUUAGAGAUAAAAGCAGCAUUUUUAUAUGUUUUUUAUGAAAAAUAAAAUAUUUUUCACUCAGACAUGGCAGGUUCUACCUGCUGCUGCAGGGUUUGGGUAGGGAAUUUUGGGACAUCCAGCAGAUCCCGACACCUCAUUUUUCCUGAAGUGAGGAUUCUGAAAUGGCAAAGGAAAAGGAUCAGGACAGUUUAGAAGCUGAGGAAAACUACCCGAAAUGUGGUUGCUGAGGCUCUUGCCUGUGUUUUGGACAGUGAAAGAAUAGUUGGGGUUGGAAGGGCCUCUGGAGAUCAACCAAGAAAAUGUCCUGGUCUGGUGCAAUCUCCUCACCUCAGAAUGUUUGGGGUUUGGGAGGUUGUUGUAAGUUGACUGAAUAUUAACACUUAGUGUAACCACUGAAGAUAUAGACAAGCCUCUGAGAACACAGGGCGUUAAAAGCAGAGAACUCCCAGGGAAACGCUCUCCCCACAGGCUGGGUAGGGGAGGGGAAGUCAUGCAGCCCAGGCUGAGGUAGGCCAGGGGCCCCAGACAGAGAAGGGGGGUGAAAGGAAUAAAACCGGGCCAGCCCCUGCAAAACAGAUGGGUGGAGAAACACUGAGAUGUCCUGGGCAGCCCCCGCAGGGAGAGAAAAAAAGAGAGAAAGCCUCUGUCACCUUAAAAUUUAGUAUCAUGUGCUGGCAGUACACUGGCAGAGGAAAAAGAGGAGGUGGAGGAUGGGGGCAAGGUGCCCAGUGCUGGGAGUCCUGGGCAGCCUGCUGUAAGAUUUCAGCCAUCCUGUGGGGCAGCAGAGCCCGAGACUUUAACCCUUUCUUAGACAAAGGAGACUUUAUGAAACAGAAUCCUCCUUUAUCUGAAGGAGGAAGAGAGACAGCCUAGAGUCUAAGAUGUCAGAAAAAGAUGAGAAAAAAAUCUUAAGUGAAAAGAGAUGAUAAAGUAGCCUUCAGCUGAACUCUUUCUUGUACAGCCAUAGACUAAACCAAUUUUCCUGUAACACGAAGAUUACAUUUAGAGAGAUUCAAUAGUUUAAGCCAAGAGAGUCACCUGCUGCAGUAAUUGCCAGUGCAAGAGUGAGAGUGACCUGCUGAAGUAACACCAUAUGCAAGACUGAAGUAAACAGAGAAAGAUGAAGAAAAUGUAGUAGUGCCCCCGGUCUUCAGGGAAGAAGAUCUCUGUUCUCAAAACCCUUGGCCCCAGGGGAGCAGAAAAUAGGGAGGACUGUUGUCCUAAAAUAAGAAAAUGUUGGUUUUUAGUACUUAGCAAAGCAUCCUUUAAAAGGAUCCUGUAAACAGUGUUAUUCCAUAAACAGUAGUGAGAGCACUGUACAUAGAAAGAAGAUGUCACAAUAGCAAUCUUUUUUGGGCGGUGCCAUGUGUGACAUAGAAACAUAAAAGGCUUCAAUUGUAUUUCCUGUAGAAAACUAUAGUACAAGAGAGACUCCUCUCUCCCUUAAUGAACUGAGAAUUAUCUGAAGUAGUAGUAAAUUAAUUGAGAAUCCAAAGUUUUGUUUCACUGUACUUUAGUAGAAAUUAGGUGGGAGGAGGAGGAAUGUUUUAGAAAGUUUUCAUUCUGAAUUUUGUGUGUUCCCUUUUGUUACGGUAUAAGUUAAUAAAGCUUUUUUCUUUAUUUCUAAACUUAAA